AUAUUCCUACGGGGCGCAGCAGUGAGGAAUAUUGGUCAAUGGGCGCAAGCCUGAACCAGCCAAGUCGCGUGAGGGAUGACGGUCCUAUGGAUUGUAAACCUCUUUUGUCGGGGAGCAAGGCCCGCCACGUGUGGCGGGAAGGAGAGUAUCCGAAGAAAAAGCAUCGGCUAACUCCGUGCCAGCAGCCGCGGUAAUACGGAGGAUGCGAGCGUUAUCCGGAUUUAUUGGGGUUAAAGGGGGCGUAGGCGGAAGGUUAAGUCAGCGGUCAAAUGUCGGUGCUCAACACCGGCCUGCCGUUGAAAAUG
rnacentral:rRNA from 1 species